UCAACCCCUCUUUUUCGCUGCAACAAAUAGAGCGUCGUCGUUUCGUUCUUCUUUGGCAGAAGAGCAUAGGGGAUUUCCAUCUGCGUUUUGGAGCUUCCACUUGUCGUUUUCCAGAUCGGAGAAUUCUCUCGCCAUGAACGGAAACGAAGCCGUCGAAGAUGCGAAGGUGGUGGAGGAAGAGUUCACGGAGAAAAUGGUGUACAUGUGGGGAUACCUUCCCGGAGCCUCGCCGGAAAAAGCGCCGAUACUGUCUCCGGCUCCGGUACAUCUCUCCGAUCCCUCACUCGCCGGAGAUUCCUGGAAGGACGUGUGCGGCGGCGGUUGUGGAUUCGCCAUGGCCAUCUCAGAGAAAGGGAAGCUUAUAACGUGGGGCUCCACGGAUGAAGAAAGCCAGAGCUACUUGACGUCCGGGAAGCGUGGGGAGAUGCCAGGGCCAUUUCAGCUUCCCACUGAGGCUUCAGUGGUGAAGGCUGCUGCUGGUUGGGCUCAUUGUGCUUCUGUCACUGAAGAAGGUGAAGUGUAUGCAUGGGGCUGGAAAGAAUGUGUGCCCUCUGGAAAAGUUAUUACUGAUUUCAUCACUGUGGGAAGCCUCCAAAAGGAUGUUGCUGGGAAACAAAGUUCAUCAAUAGCUGAACAAGGAAGCCCACAAAGUUCGAAUACAAGUAGUGGAUCAGAUUCACAUCAUGACAACAAGAAAGUUGGAGAGGAAGUUGUAAAGCGAAGGAAGAUCUCUUUUUCUAGACAGGAUUCUGACAGUCAAGCAUCUGGAGAUGAAUUCUUUACCGUGUCCCCUUCUCUUGUGACCCUUGGUCAUGGAGUGAAAAUUACCUCUGUAGCAGUUGGUGGGCGUCAUACCUUGGCACUGUCAGAUGUGGGACAGGUCUGGGGCUGGGGCUAUGGAGGUGAAGGACAGCUAGGUUUGGGUUCUCGAGUAAAGAUGGUAUCAUCUCCUCAUCUUAUACCAUGUGUUGAAUCUGCUUCUGGGAAGGAUAGGUCAACAACUCUUCAUCAAGGAAGUAGUGCUGGAGCCCAAGGGCCAAAUGUUCCUGGAAGUUGUGUGAUGGAAAUAGCUUGUGGAGGACGGCAUAGUGCAGUGAUAACAGAUGCGGGGGCGCUUCUUACUUUUGGCUGGGGUCUUUAUGGUCAGUGUGGACAAGGAAAUAAUGCUGAUCAGCUGAGACCAACUCUAGUUCCUUCUUUGUUGGGAACUAGAGUGGAAAAAAUAGCUGCUGGACUUUGGCAUACAUUGUGUGUCACUGAAAAUGGUCAAAUUUAUGCAUUUGGUGGGAAUCAAUUUGGACAAUUGGGUACCGGUAGUGACCAGCCUGAGAUUUCACCUAGACUGUUGGAUGCUUCCUGUUUUAAGAAUAAGCAUUCUAGUAUAGUUUCUUGUGGGGCUCGUCACAGUGCUUUGCUAACAGGUAUGUCUCCAUUAACAUAUCCUUCAGGGAAACUUUUAGAGCCAAGCUUAGUGACUGCAUACUUUGAUAAUGCUAUGGCUUAUUCAUAUUCAAGAACUGACAAGAGAGAUUCGUGCCAACAAUCAUUAUAUGGAACAAGCAUGCUAUGGUGGUUCAUUAUAUUCAUCACUAUGCUAAUUUCAUUGUCAUUGCACCUAUGGUGGUUAAGCUCAUCCUUCAACUAUGGGGCUGCUUAGUCUCAUCCUUCAGCUAAUAUCUUUUAUGCUUUCAAAUCUAGGCCAGAACAAAUUUUCAAAGCAUCCAAGAAUAUUUGAUGAAAAAUUAUCAUUGUUUAUUGACAAGAAAAAGUAUUGUAGAUGAUGGUGUUUUACAAAUUGUAUCUAGUUUUACAUGUAUUCUUACAGUCAUUGUUUUCUGUUUCUCAUAUUGAAGAUGAUGGGCACCUAUUUACUUGGGGAUGGAACAAGUAUGGCCAGCUUGGCCUAGGAGAUUCUGUUGACAGAAACAUUCCGUGUCAAGUUUCUAUUGCUGAUUGCAGACCAAGAAAUGUUACCUGUGGUUGGUGGCAUACACUGCUGCUGGUUGAUAAACCAGCUUGACUUCAUUUGUUCUUUAGCCUCAAGGUGGUUGCACGGUUUUGAUGAGUUACUGACUAGUCGACAUUUCACUAGUGGAAUGUAGAUAUGUCCAAAAUCACCCAACAUGUUGGUUUGUUAUUUUCAUCCAUCGUUCUCAUUUUCCUAUCUCAGCCUACCUUGAGUGCUUUCCCUUUCCCUUUCUCUAGCUUUCCAUGUCUAGAUUUUCGCUUUUGUUUUGCAUAGACUUCCCAAGCAAUGCAAGACUGUUUCAUGGACUUCUGAUUAUGAAUGUGUAAAAUAUAAAUAUUUUGUGCCUGUGAAGAAGCACUACGUUGCCAAUAGACAGCGCUGCGAUUCCUUUUUCUGGAACUAGUUAUGAUCCACAACCGGUAUAAAGUAACGGGUCCAUGGUUUGAUCGAUGAACCAGACAAUCCAAUCCAAAGCAAUUAAACUAGUUCAAAUUUGUUUGAAUAAUUGAUUAA